GUGGAUGAGGAGUAAGAUAGCUGUGUGAGAAGGAAAUCUGAGUGGAAUGCAAUCAGCUAGCAGAGAGGUCUGCUGUGUAGCAUGAUUCAACGUUAUUCCAGCAGCACUGGGAGAGUCCAGAAUCGAGGAGAUUAUUUGUGCCAAAAUGAAUCAUGUUUUGUCUGAAACAUUUGAAAUGCCAAAGGUUCAAAAGUACCCUGAGAUCCUGCACUGAAUGAUCAUCUUUGAGGCUGCUGAUGUUCACCAUGACCCAGUUCAAACUCGCCUGACCAAGCAUUUCAAGACUGCAGUAGGAUAAAUCUGGAAUAUUUCAGUCCUGUUUAAUCACCUCCAUCUGUGCUUUCAAGAUACAAAAGCUACAUAAAUCUCUAAACCUUCUAUCUGGUGUUUAGACUGAUGCAAGCACUCCAUAACCUGGAUUCUUCCUCAGCUGUUAUCUCCCUACGCUGUUUACAGAGUGGCCUUGCAGUGCUACUGUUCUGCUUUGUAUCUCUUUCUGAUCCUUCUGUAGGAUAAAUGAUGACACACAACACAGCUCAGUAGUGGACCCAGCAGUGUAGGAGGAUCUUGCAUUUCAUUCUGACUGUGCUGAAGGUUAGUGUCUUUCAGCUGAUGUGAUUCACAUAUUCUGUUUUCCUGUCUUUGAGGAAUGCAUUUUUUGUUUUCUUAAGGAUAGAAGUUUGGCUUGAAUGAGCUUUUUCAGCCUUGCCAUUUAGCCCAGCUAGAUUCAACAGGCAAUGAGAACCUGUCAGCCUUUCUAGAUUCAUUUCUCCCCUUGGUUUUGUUUGCUUGGGGUUCUUGUUUGUCUGUUUUUUAGCAAAGUGUGUUGUAAUGUAGCUCUUGGAGACUGUGCCAAGGAGCCUAAAGGUGUUUAGUCUCCUAACUCCUAUUUAGGCACAGUCAUUGCCACUGAAAUGUGAUGGAAAUAAGGAGCUAAAUACAAUUGAA